rnacentral:rRNA from 1 species
CAAGAGUUUGAUCAUGGCUCAGGACGAACGCUGGCGGCGUGCCUAAUACAUGCAAGUCGAACGCUUCUUUCCUCCCGAGUGCUUGCACUCAAUUGGAAAGAGGAGUGGCGGACGGGUGAGUAACACGUGGGUAACCUACCCAUCAGAGGGGGAUAACACUUGGAAACAGGUGCUAAUACCGCAUAACAGUUUAUGCCGCAUGGCAUAAGAGUGAAAGGCGCUUUCGGGUGUCGCUGAUGGAUGGACCCGCGGUGCAUUAGCUAGUUGGUGAGGUAACGGCUCACCAAGGCCACGAUGCAUAGCCGACCUGAGAGGGUGAUCGGCCACACUGGGACUGAGACACGGCCCAGACUCCUACGGGAGGCAGCA